CAGAGCCCUUCCACUGGCUCUGUUUUCUUCCGGUGCCAUGCUCCUCUCUGCAGCUAUAGAGCUUCUGGAAAGCCUGGAGGAAUUGACACUCCUGUUCACCGUGUCAUGUUUGGGGCACAGGGUGUGACUACACAUACAUGUCACAUCGAUAAAACUGAUCAACUGGAUUUCAAGAGCAAAACUUAACUGGAGCAAUGUUAAUGGAACCCCUGACCAAGAUCUUCCACGGACAAGAUACUUGGAGCCGUGGGCUUCUCUUGCGCCAAAGCUGCAAGCUUGGUGGAAUCCUCUUGCCGGCCCUUUGCCUCCUGCCCGCCUCCCCUGGCCUUGGGCCGCCAGUCCUGCUGGUGCCCUCUGCCCCCCCACCCAGGGUCUGGGCUCUUACCUUGCCUGUCCUGUGAAGUGAGCGCACAGCUGCUGCCUCAAGAAAGAAGAGGGGCUCGCUCUCUCUGCCCCCUGCUUCAAUCACUUCCUAUCUGACAUGAGCAGCAGAAGUGCUAUAACCAGCCACAGGUGUGUGACUAAGAACGAAGUCUGGCUUCUGAGAGGGAGGGGGAGCACACGAAGGGGUACUUCUCAGCCCAGCGUGAGGAUGCGCGAUAGGGGGCCGUGGAGUACGGCAUGCCCUGGAUGCUGGGAUGGGAGAAUGAUGGGGUGCAGUCCUCAGGGAGGAAGGAGCAGCCCUGGUAAAGGAGACGCGGUCUGCACAGAAACAGGGGUGCAGCCAAAGAAGACAGAGCUAGCUGUUAAAGGUUUCCUGAAACAUCCAUGAUGUCACGUGCGAUACGGCACAAUGGAAGAGGUUUCAGAUGGAGACAGAAAGAGGAACUUGUAGCUCUUUUCUAAAUCAAUGAAUAGUUGGCUCCAAGGCUCUCUCAAGGAGAAUGAAGUAUGACCCCGGGGGAAGGGGAAGGUAUCAGGCCAGUAUGUUUUUCCAGCUGAGAAGGCUGGGGCUUUUGGGGACAGAGCAGUGGUCACUUGUGAGGCUGAGGCCAGUUGCACAUGAUCACACAAUCACCCACAUGACAGGAGUCUGGGUCUCACUCCUCGUGGCACUGGGUAUUACUGAGAUGUCCAGGGCCGGCCAGGAACUGCCUAGGAACCACUGGAGUAUCAUCGGCAUGGUAUUACUUACUGUGCAUCUUUACAAAAGCUAUUUUUUGACAAGGAAACUCAGGACAAAAGGCCAGGAGGGGACCACACCAUUAAGCAUGAUGCCGCGUAUAGCACAACCACUACCUGUAACCAGGUGUGGGAGGGAUGUCACUGCCGAGAGCCAGGCUUUCCAGCCUGAGAGAAAUGAGCUGCCGCUGUUGUGCAGAGCAAGCAGGAGAGAGAAGAAAGGGAAACCAAAUACCACAGAACCUCUGUCCAAUUCUGCACAGUGUGUUGUAAUAACCUCAAAAAUACAAGCACUCUUUCACAUGUAACUCAGAUACCACGUUGCUGCAAAAGAUUUUGAAAAGACUUCUUUUGGUGGAAAGCUUCAAUGGUGGAAUUGAGAAUUAGUUCAUCAAUUAAUAAAGAAAUGUCAAAGCUUUAGGAUACAUAAUUCAGAAAUUUAUUUUAAGCUUUUCAGUUAGGAGGCAAGUGGGGUGGG